rnacentral:rRNA from 1 species
AUGUUUUCUCAUUUAAUAUCAUGUCAUUUUUUUCGUCUCUGUGUGUGUGUUGUUUUUCUGGUCUUUUUUACCAUGGCAAAAACUUUAAAUCUGCAUGUUUUUUCAUUUAAUACCAUGGCAUUUUUUCAUGUAUGUGCUUUUUUUCUGUUUUUUUACCAUGGCAACUUUAUUUUAUAUUCUAUGGCAAAUUCAUUGAGUAUACCUUGGCAAAGUUUUAAUUAUGUCGCGAACAAACCUGUGGUUGGAUGGUUAGGUGGACAGUGGUAUCCCCAGCCCACCAGGGUUCAAGUCCUGGUGCUCGCAUUUAUUCUGGAUUUAUUUCAGAAUUUCCGGCGUUGGGACGAGACGUCACCGUCGACUACGAGGCACCUACGGUGA